rnacentral:rRNA from 1 species
GACGAACCGUGCGAACGUUGUUCGGAAUCACUGGGCUUAAAGGGCGCGUAGGCGGCCCGUCGCGUCCGGGGUGAAAUCCUCCCGCUCAACGGGAGAACGGCCUCGGAUACGGGCGGGCUGGAGGGGGGUAGGGGCACGCGGAACUGUGGGUGGAGCGGUGAAAUGCGUUGAGAUCCACAGGAACUCCGGUGGCGAAGGCGGCGUGCUGGACCCCACCUGACGCUGAGGCGCGAAAGCCAGGGGAGCGAACGGG